GAGAUCGGGAUAACACCUGGAAACAGAUGCUAAUACCGGAUAACAACAGAUGAUGCCUAUCAACUGUUUAAAAGAUGGUUCUGCUAUCACUCUUGGAUGGACCUGCGGUGCAUUAGCUAGUUGGUAGGGUAACGGCCUACCAAGGCGAUGAUGCAUAGCCGAGUUGAGAGACUGAUCGGCCACAUUGGGACUGAGACACGGCCCAAACUCCUACGGGAGGCAGCAGAC
rnacentral:rRNA from 1 species